CGCGUAGGCGGUCUGAUAAGUCAGUUGUGAAAGCCCGGGGCUCAACCCCGGAAGUGCAAUUGAAACUGUCAGGCUUGAGUAUGGUAGAGGGAAGUGGAAUUCCUGGUGUAGCGGUGAAAUGCGUAGAUAUCAGGAGGAACACCGGUGGCGAAGGCGACUUCCUUGACCAAUACUGACGCUGAGGCGCGAAGGUGUGGGGAGCAAACAGGAUUAGAUACCCUGGUAGUCC
rnacentral:rRNA from 1 species